CGCACAUUGCGCCCUUUGGUAUUCUGAGGGGCACGCCUGUUCGAGCGUCAUUUAAACCAUCAAGCCCAGCUUGGUCUUGGACGCGGAUCAGUGAUCAGUCAGUGAAUCAUCGAAUCUUUGAACGCACAUUGCGCCCCUUAGUAUUCCGGGGGGCAUGCCUGUUCGAGCGUCAUUUCAACCCUCAAGCUUUGGCUUGGUCUUGGGCUCUGCCGAUCAAUUGAGCGGCUUGCCUUAAAAUCAAUGGCGGGGCCACCGAACCCUUCGCGUAGUAGUUAUUUUUUCUCGCGAUUGGGAUUCGAUUGGAACCAUAGCCUCACCCUAAUUUAACAUUGGUUGACCUCGGAUCAGGUAGGGAAACCCGCUGAACUUAA
rnacentral:misc_RNA from 1 species